AACCUCGUAGUAUAGUGCGUGGCACGUCGACUACUACGUCGAAGGCGUAGGUUCGAUUCUUACUAAGGUUC
rnacentral:tRNA from 1 species